AGUGAAUCAUCGAAUCUUUGAACGCACCUUGCGCCCUUUGGUAUUCCGAAGGGCACACCUGUUUGAGUGUCGUGAAAUUCUCAACCCUCUUCACUUUUGUGAACGUAGUGGAUUGGACUUGGGAGGCUUUGCCGGGCUUCACCGCUCGGCUCCUCUCAAAUGCAUUAGUGCGUCUUGUUGCGACGUGCGCCUCGGUGUGAUAAUUAUCUACGCUGUGGUGUGCUUGCUUCUGUGGAGACGCGCUUUCUAACCGUCCGAAAGGACAGCUUUCAUCGAACUUUGACCUCAAAUCAGGUGGGACUACCCGCUGAACUUAA
rnacentral:rRNA from 1 species